CUAACAGAAACAUGGGAACCAUCAAUCUUCCGCUGGGUUUCACGUCGACGCUGAAACAUGGUAGCAACAGCCGAGACGUAACUUUGAUCAUGCUAACGGCAGCAGGAAAACUUUAACGUAGGGGUCUGAGGUUCCUCCCAUGUCCAUGGCAGCGAGGUCCUGAGCCUGGAGGAUCCCCACUAUGAGCUUCAGCAGAAAGAAAAACGAAUCAAACGUGACGUUACAGCUGAAAACUGGAAGUUAUUCAUGCAUCAGUGAGUUCUUACAGAUUAGGGAUGCAAGUUAUUGUUCAAUGAGGAAACGUCUCUCCAUGAUUCAUCGUGGAACAGCAGACGAGGUGAGAGGCUGCGGAGCGAAAAGCAACCCACCUUUUCUCCGGACUCCCCGUCUCCUUCCUUCUCCUUCCUGCGCCGACCUCCGGCCUUCCUGCCCCUCUCUUUCUUCGGCUUUUUCUUUUUCCCAAAACAUUUUUUGAAAACGCAGAAGAUGAAGCAGGCCACCAGAACCAGGACCAGAACAACGAUGGCCGCCACUGCCCACACAGGAACUACAGAAGAGCGGCGAAUUAGCUCCUCCCAUUUGAGAUUUUUAAUCCCUUCAACUCCUUUAAAUUAACCGCAUUAUUUCACGUUGGUUUUAUUUGCUUCUGUCUCAUCCGCAGGGAUUUUCAGUGCAGCCACUUAUCUGCAGACAGUUUGCUGAGUGUGUUUGGUCAGUAAACACUUUCUUCCCCACAAUCAGAUAAUAACACUCCUGCAGCUGAGAGUAAAAACAUCAUAAUUAUAAGUCAUUCCUUCCCCACUGUAAUCUUUAGCUUCACUGGAUCAUGUUGCUUUAACAGAACUGAUUCCUGAACACAUGAAAACACAAACAUCUCAAAGACUUGAUGUUAUUGAACGUAUUGCACAUUCUGUUCAGCUUAAAAUGUAAAUUUGAUGCAUUUCAAUGGGAUUUUGUCAAAUUAACCAACACAAAGUGAUAAAUAAAAGUGAAAUUCUGCUGUAAAUAUAACACAACUGCUUACAAUUUUUGAUAAAUAUCUACUAUAGAACAUCUGUUCUCAUGUUUAAAGAACAAUCGUUUUAUUUCUGUUUUUAAAUUUUAAAAUAAAGAUUUACGCAACA